rnacentral:rRNA from 1 species
CCUACGGGAGGCUGCAGUGGGGAAUAUUGCGCAAUGGACGAAAGUCUGACGCAGCGACGCCGCGUGUGGGAUGAAGCCUUUCGGGGUGUAAACCACUGUUGCCCGGGACGAACAUCCCCUUUCGAGGGGACUGACGGUACCGGGUGAGGAAGCACCGGCUAACUCUGUGCCAGCAGCCGCGGUAAUACAGAGGGUGCGAGCGUUGUCCGGAAUCACUGGGCGUAAAGGGCGCGUAGGUGGCUUGGUAAGCGUGUGGUGAAAGUCCGGGGCUCAACCCCGGGUCUGCCGUGCGAACUGCCGGGCUCGAGCAUUGUAGAGGCAGGUGGAAUUCCGGGUGUAGCGGUGGAAUGCGUAGAGAUCCGGAAGAACACCAGUGGCGAAGGCGGCCUGCUGGGCAAUUGCUGACACUGAGGCGCGACAGCGUGGGGAGCAAACAGGAUUAGAUACCCCUGUAGUC